rnacentral:rRNA from 1 species
UACGAAGGGGGCGAGCGUUGUUCGGAUUUACUGGGCGUAAAGGGCGCGUAGGCGGCGGGUCAAGUCGAGUGUGAAAGCCCCGGGCUCAACCUGGGAGGUGCGCUCGAGACUGGUCUGCUAGAGUUCGGGAGAGGAGCGUGGAAUUCCCAGUGUAGAGGUGAAAUUCGUAGAUAUUGGGAAGAACACCGGUGGCGAAGGCGGCGCUCUGGACCGAGACUGACGCUGAGGCGCGAAAGCCAGGGGAGCAAACGGG